UACGGAGGGUGCAAACGUUGCUCGGAAUCAUUGGGCGUAAAGCGCACGUAGGCGGAUUGUUAAGUCGGGGGUGAAAUCCUGAGGCUCAACCUCGGAACUGCCUUCGAUACUGCGGGUCUCGAGUCCGGGAGAGGUGAGUGGAAUUCCUAGUGUAGAGGUGAAAUUCGUAGAUAUUAGGAAGAACACCAGUGGCGAAGGCGGCUCACUGGCCCGGUACUGACGCUGAGGCGCGAAAGCGUGGGGAGCAAACAGG
rnacentral:rRNA from 1 species